AGACCCGAAACCCGGUGAUCUAGCCAUGGGCAGGUUGAAGGUUGGGUAACACUAACUGGAGGACCGAACCGACUAAUGUUGAAAAAUUAGCGGAUGACCUGUGGCUGGGGGUGAAAGGCCAAUCAAACCGGGAGAUAGCUGGUUCUCCCCGAAAGCUAUUUAGGUAGCGCCUCGUGAAUUCAUCUCCGGGGGUAGAGCACUGUUUCGGCUAGGGGGCCAUCCCGGCUUACCAACCCGAUGCAAACUGCGAAUACCGGAGAAUGUUAUCACGGGAGACACACGGCGGGUGCUAACGUCCGUCGUGAAGAGGGAAACAACCCAGACCGCCAGCUAAGGUCCCAAAGUCAUGGUUAAGUGGGAAACGAUGUGGGAAGGCCCAGACAGCCAGGAUGUUGGCUUAGAAGCAGCCAUCAUUUAAAGAAAGCGUAAUAGCUCACUGGUCGAGUCGGCCUGCGCGGAAGAUGUAACGGGGCUAAACCAUGCACCGAAGCUGCGGCAGCGAACGUAUCACCCAAGACAACUUUACGGAGUUGACGAUUGACGGAGCGAAGCGACGUCAAAGCGUUCAUUAAAGUCGAGUUGGCUUAGGGAUACGUUCGUUGGGUAGGGGAGCGUUCUGUAAGCCUGUGAAGGUGUGUCGUGAGGCAUGCUGGAGGUAUCAGAAGUGCGAAUGCUGACAUAAGUAACGAUAAAGCGGGUGAAAAGCCCGCUCGCCGGAAGACCAAGGGUUCCUGUCCAACGUUAAUCGGGGCAGGGUGAGUCGACCCCUAAGGCGAGGCCGAAAGGCGUAGUCGAUGGGAAACGGGUUAAUAUUCCCGUACUUGGUGUUACUGCGAAGGGGGGACGGAGAAGGCUAUGUUGGCCGGGCGACGGUUGUCCCGGUUUAAGCGUGUAGGUGUGUGUUCCAGGUAAAUCCGGUUCACUUUAACACUGAGGCGUGACGACGAGGCACUACGGUGCUGAAGCAACAAAUGCCCUGCUUCCAGGAAAAGCCUCUAAGCAUCAGGUAACAUCAAAUCGUACCCCAAACCGACACAGGUGGUCAGGUAGAGAAUACCAAGGCGCUUGAGAGAACUCGGGUGAAGGAACUAGGCAAAAUGGUGCCGUAACUUCGGGAGAAGGCACGCUGACACGUAGGUGAAGUGAUUUACUCAUGGAGCUGAAGUCAGUCGAAGAUACCAGCUGGCUGCAACUGUUUAUUAAAAACACAGCACUGUGCAAACACGAAAGUGGACGUAUACGGUGUGACGCCUGCCCGGUGCCGGAAGGUUAAUUGAUGGGGUCAGCGCAAGCGAAGCUCCUGAUCGAAGCC
rnacentral:rRNA from 1 species